UCGGGAAUUUUGGGCAAUGGGCGAAAGCCUGACCCAGCAACGCCGCGUGAAGGAUGAAGUAUUUCGGUAUGUAAACUUCGUAAAAUAGGAAGAAUAAAUGACGGUACUAUUUGUAAGGUCCGGCUAACUACGUGCCAGCAGCCGCGGUAAUACGUAGGGACCAAGCGUUGUUCGGAUUUACUGGGCGUAAAGGGCGCGUAGGCGGCGUGGUAAGUCACUUGUGAAAUCUCCGAGCUUAACUCGGAACGGUCAAGUGAUACUGCUGUGCUAGAGUACAGAAGGGGCAAUCGGAAUUCUUGGUGUAGCGGUGAAAUGCGUAGAUAUCAAGAGGAACACCUGAGGUGAAGACGGGUUGCUGGGCUGAUACUGACGCUGAGGCGCGAAAGCUAGGGUAGCAAACGGGAUUAGAUACCCUCGUAGUCCCUGAGCGGGCUGGCAAGGCGCAU
rnacentral:rRNA from 1 species